UACGUAGGGUGCAAGCGUUGUCCGGAAUUAUUGGGCGUAAAGAGCUUGUAGGCGGUUUGUCGCGUCUGCUGUGAAAUUUCGGGGCUCAACCUCCAGCCUGCAGUGGGUACGGGCAGACUAGAGUGCGGUAGGGGAGAUUGGAAUUCCUGGUGUAGCGGUGGAAUGCGCAGAUAUCAGGAGGAACACCGAUGGCGAAGGCAGAUCUCUGGGCCGUAACUGACGCUGAGGAGCGAAAGCAUGGGGAGCGAACAGG
rnacentral:rRNA from 1 species